AAACUGGUCCAGCCGCUGCCGUGGGCCGUGGUCUUAAUUGUUCCUGACAAAAGAUCUGGGUUCCACAAAGGCACUGACCAGAGCCCACGAGAGGAGGACAAGCCUAAGGCCUCCCCCACCGAGGGGUGGGAGUCUCCCUCACCCCUCAACCAGCGGUGUGGCCAAGGUGCACCGCAGACUGUAGCUGGUGAGUCACGUACCUCCAGUCUCUGGGAUGGGCAAUGAACAAGGGAAAAACGCAGGGGCCUGGUCUGGUGGUCAAGUACUUUGGUGUUAUCUGGUCAGGACUGGCAGCAACACAUCACUUCUACCAAACAUGACACCACUGACCCUGCCUCCAGCUGGCUGCAAUCCCUCCGGUCCACCUGGCAGACAGGCUUCUGGGUGAUACUGGGACUCUUAUUACUAUGUCUUUUCCUGUGUUGCUGGUUAUACUGAGUAUGUGGUCUGGUUUUGCAAUGCUCCUCUGCAUAACAAGUCCGAGGGCUAUUGCGGAAGAGGGGGUGGUAAGAUUGUAAGGACAUUAGGAGGGUAUGCAGGGGUGGAGUGUAGGGUAAUGCUGUUCAGCUAUAUGCAUCCCCUCCCUAAUGGAAUCAGCUUUGCUCUUCCCUGAAGCAUGCUGGGAUGAAUUCAGGAUGGGCUCAGGCUAAGGUACAAUGCUGGGAGUGGCAUGACUGGGCCAGUGGCCAAGGCUGAGGAAUGCCUUAGCAACAAGAAAGAAAACAUCUGGGCCUAGACGUGAAGUCCCUGGGAACACUGCCUGCCCAAGGAAGUGGGAGGAAAACAAUGAGCUUUGGUCCCAGCUGGAAUGGUAUAUAAGCUUGUGUCCCUUGCUAGGUGGUUGCAGAGCGCUAAACUGGUCCAGCCACCUCCCUGGGCCAUGGUCCUGUAAGUAAGCUUCCCAAAUAAACCGUAUGUCGUGAUUGCUGGUUCUGGAGUCUUUCUUCGGUCUCUUGGAGAUGCGGCUGACCUUGGGUUCAGCUGCCGCUGGGCUGUUACCCAACAGUGAGUCAAGUGACUCUCCAAGGCAGCUGCUGCCAUUCCGUGACUCAGUGGCCCCGCUCGUUUUGAGCCAGUGGUUCCAACGACUCAAUUACGACCUCUACUCUCAUUGCCAAAAGGGCCAAGAGAGAGACUGAAGAACUGAGCGGUGUUUUUCUACUGCCUCCCCAGAGAAGUGACACCACUUCUGUCCAUGUUGUAUUGGCCAAAUCUAGUCAUGUGGCCUACCUAUCUGAGAAGUACAUUUUCUGUGUUCUCAGUAAGGAUGAACAUGAAGCAGGGUUUGGUGACCCAAAGCAUUGCCUUUGCCAUAUAAAGAUAAUCAGGAGUUGAGGGAGAACACACUGUAUUUAAGCUGGUGCAAGUACCUAAGAAUGUGCUAUGUAUACAUAAAAAAUGAAGAUACUAGAACCAAUAAUCACCAGGAGGCAAAUGGAUUAACAAAUUCUGAUAGACCCACACAAUGGAAUUCACACUCAGCAAUAAAAAAAGAAUGAGCUGUGGAUACGUGGACCACCAUGGAUCAGUCUCAAAAUGUUUAUGCUGAGCGAGAGGAACCAAACAAAAAGAGGUACAUGCUAUUCAUUUCUAUUAAAUACUAGAAAAUGCAAAAUCUC